UUUUUUAUAACAUCAGCCACUCACAAAACCUUUUUCCCUCUCAAACUCUUUUCUCUGCAAUCAGGACUCACACACGUAAAACACUCUAUCUUCUUCACAAAUCCAUAUAUCCACAGCACAAAUCCACUCACUCUCUCUCCCUCCCUCGAUGAUGAUCAGCCGGCCACCACUAUGGGUGGCGGCGCUUGGCGACUGUCGGACGUCUGUUUCUUCGGUCACUACCCACCCCCUCGUCUCCUCAGAACCCGGCAGUAACCACACCCACCCUCACACCCCCGUUCACUCGACUCCUCUUCCCGGCGACACACACACCUGCAACACCCCUGUUGUUUUUAGAGAGAACAUGAAUGAGAAGUGAGAGAGAGAGAGAGAGAGAAGAGUCGAAGAGACAGAGAAAACAGUGAUGCGGAGGGGGAUCGACGGCGAAGGCGCCGUUUUCCGGCAGCCGGCGACGGCCAAUGACGGCAGUGGAAUAUUCUUUUAUGUUCGACGUUUUUCCCGACAAAUCCGGUAAGCACUCAUCUCAGUUCACCAUUUCUUUUACGUUUCCGAUGAUGAUGAUGUUUCCGAUGGUGAUGAUGAUCGGCGGUGGUGCCAGUGGUGGUUUCGGAAGUGAUGGGUGUCUCGGGCCUGGUCCAGUUGGGAUUCAAGUCUGUUUUGUCUGAGUCUGUUUUGUCUGAGUCGAGUCACGGUUCAGCAGGUUUAGUGUUCGGGUCAUGUAUGGUCAAACCAGGUCAGCAGCUUGAUGUUCGGGUAUCAGCUUCAGUUUGGUUCGGGUGCUGUUUUGGACAGAUUCUGGUUCAAGAUUCGGGUCUCAUUUCAGUCAACUUCAGAUCGGGUUCGGUUUGGUCAGACUCAGAUUCUUGUGCGGGUUUUGUCUCGGCUCGAGUCAAAUUCGGUUCAGUUUCUGUUCGAGUUAACUCAGCCAAACAGUCAAUCGUGGUCAACGGGUCAACACGAGGCAAACACGAGAUGUGGUAAAAAUCUUAACGACGCGAUAUUUUUAUUAUUGAUGUUUAUAUAUAAACUUACUAUUUUUUCUCGUAAAAGAUUAAAUUAUUUGGACUUGUAAACUAAUCGUGUUUAUAUAACUUGUAUAAAUUUAUAUAUUUUUCGUUGAUAGAAAUUGUUGUUGAGUUUCAGAAUUAUAUCGACAACUUGUGUUUUGGGAUCGUCCGAAAACAGAGGAAAGUCUGCCCGUUUUUCGUAAAAAAAAUCCGUAAAGCGAAACGUGUUUAAUCAUAAAACGAAACCUAUCGAGAUUCAAGUAUUUUUAUGAAAUAAAUACAAAUGUAUAUUUAAAUUUUGAUGACACUUCUGUAUCCUCCAAAUAUUUAUACCCUUUCGUUUGCUCAUGUCAACACGAGGCAAACACGAGAUGUGGUAAAAAUCUUAACGACGCGAUAUUUUUAUUAUUGAUGUUUAUAUAUAAACUUACUAUUUUUCUCGUAAAACAUUAAAUUAUUCGGACUUGUAAACUAAUCGUGUUUAUAUAACUUGUAUAAAUUUAUUAUUUUUCGUUGAUAGAAAUUGUUGUUGAGUUUUAGAAUUAUAUCCACAACUUGUGUUUUGGGAUCGUCCGAAAACAGAGGAAAAUCUGCCCGUUUUUCGUAAAAAAAAAAUCUGUAAAGCAAAACGUGUUUAAUCAUAAAACGAAACCUAUCGAGAUUCAAGUAUUUUUAUGAAAUAAAUACAAAUGUAUAUUUAAAUUUUGACGACACUUCUGAAACCUCCAAAUAUUUAUACCCUUUGGUUUGCUCAUGUAUGGUGACCUCGACAAUCCAUCACCUAAUCCUUUGACUCUUCAUGGGACUACAAAGGAAAGCUUUGCAAAAUGUUGUUGAUAUAAAUUAAAGCUACAAGGAAAUCUAGUAGGAUUGCCUAGAAACGCAUUUAAAUUUUAAUACUUGUGGCAUUGUAAUUUACUUUCAAACAGGUUGUAUUUUGUUUCCAAUCUUGUAAUAAACCAUUAUCAGGAAAUGAAACUUAUUUACUUGAA